AGUUGACAACCCUUCAAGGACAAAUACUGAACCCUGUUGGGGGAGGAAGAAAAUAACAGAUUGCCAGAUAGACUAAAAAACAAUUUAGCACUCAGCAAGAAAAGAAGUGAGAACUCAAGUUGAAACAUCUCAUGGAGACAAUGUCAUCACAACACUUCCCGAUAAAAAAGAAGAAAAGCACCCUGAAACAUCUCAAUUAGAGAAUCAAGCCCCAAAUGGCACUAUGUUUUAUAGAUAAUGAGGAAACACUGAAUGAUUUUAAUCAUGAGGAUGACUUGACCAAACUUGCAUUUAUCAAGAUGAUGCUAGCUGCUUUGCAGGGUCUGUGUUGAAUGGCGGCUCUGCAAGCUUCAGUGGGAGUACAAUGAUAGCAUCACCUGUGCACUAGGCCAAUGCCACUCAUAUCUGGGCACCUGGUGGUUGCUGAAGAGGCAAUGGCAGAAUACACCAGGAAAUACCAAUUGUGAUGGUCCUUCCUCUGUUGGAUAUGAAAAGUGUCUAGGCCAGUAAACUUGUUUACCUCAAUAUCAAGUCUUUUGGCUCUCAGCUUUAGACAGAGUAUCACAAGAUGUAAAUUGCUUUGGGAUAGGCAAUAUUAUUCAUUACUUAAGACAGAUAUUUGGCAUUUGUAAAUUAUAGUUUAAAACACUGCAUAUAUUUAAAAAUUGUAUUCCUCUCAAAUAUGUGAUUUUCUUUCAUUAACAUAAUUGAUCUGUUAAAUGUUUAAAUAUUAUUUUAAUAACUUUAGGGUACAUACUGAAAUGAAAGUCAAAUAGGGAAAGC